rnacentral:rRNA from 1 species
GAGUUUGAUCAUGGCUCAGAUUGAACGCUGGCGGCAGGCCUAACACAUGCAAGUCGAACGGUAACAGGAAACAGCUUGCUGUUUCGCUGACGAGUGGCGGACGGGUGAGUAAUGUCUGGGAAACUGCCUGAUGGAGGGGGAUAACUACUGGAAACGGUAGCUAAUACCGCAUAACGUCGCAAGACCAAAGAGGGGGACCUUCGGGCCUCUUGCCAUCAGAUGUGCCCAGAUGGGAUUAGCUAGUAGGUGGGGUAACGGCUCACCUAGGCGACGAUCCCUAGCUGGUCUGAGAGGAUGACCAGCCACACUGGAACUGAGACACGGUCCAGACUCCUACGGGAGGCAGCAGUGGGGAAUAUUGCACAAUGGGCGCAAGCCUGAUGCAGCCAUGCCGCGUGUAUGAAGAAGGCCUUCGGGUUGUAAAGUACUUUCAGCGGGGAGGAAGGGAGUAAAGUUAAUACCUUUGCUCAUUGACGUUUCCCGCAGAAGAAGCACCGGCUAACUCCGUGCCAGCAGCCGCGGUAAUACGGAGGGUGCAAGCGUUAAUCGGAAUUACUGGGCGUAAAGCGCACGCAGGCGGUUUGUUAAGUCAGAUGUGAAAUCCCCGGGCUCAACCUGGGAACUGCAUCUGAUACUGGCAAGCUUGAGUCUCGUAGAGGGGGGUAGAAUUCCAGGUGUAGCGGUGAAAUGCGUAGAGAUCUGGAGGAAUACCGGUGGCGAAGGCGGCCCCCUGGACGAAGACUGACGCUCAGGUGCGAAAGCGUGGGGAGCAAACAGGAUUAGAUACCCUGGUAGUCCACGCCGUAAACGAUGUCGACUUGGAGGUUGUGCCCUUGAGGCGUGGCUUCCGGAGCUAACGCGUUAAGUCGACCGCCUGGGGAGUACGGCCGCAAGGUUAAAACUCAAAUGAAUUGACGGGGGCCCGCACAAGCGGUGGAGCAUGUGGUUUAAUUCGAUGCAACGCGAAGAACCUUACCUGGUCUUGACAUCCACGGAAGUUUUCAGAGAUGAGAAUGUGCCUUCGGGAACCGUGAGACAGGUGCUGCAUGGCUGUCGUCAGCUCGUGUUGUGAAAUGUUGGGUUAAGUCCCGCAACGAGCGCAACCCUUAUCCUUUGUUGCCAGCGGUCCGGCCGGGAACUCAAAGGAGACUGCCAGUGAUAAACUGGAGGAAGGUGGGGAUGACGUCAAGUCAUCAUGGCCCUUACGACCAGGGCUACACACGUGCUACGAUGGCGCAUACAAAGAGAAGCGACCUCGCGAGAGCAAGCGGACCUCAUAAAGUGCGUCGUAGUCCGGAUUGGAGUCUGCAACUCGACUCCAUGAAGUCGGAAUCGCUAGUAAUCGUGGAUCAGAAUGCCACGGUGAAUACGUUCCCGGGCCUUGUACACACCGCCCGUCACACCAUGGGAGUGGGUUGCAAAAGAAGUAGGUAGCUUAACCUUCGGGAGGGCGCUUACCACUUUGUGAUUCAUGACUGGGGUGAAGUCGUAACAAGGUAACCGUAGGGGAACCUGCGGUUG